rnacentral:rRNA from 1 species
GACGAACCGUGCGAACGUUAUUCGGAAUCACUGGGCUUAAAGCGUGCGCAGGCGGUUUUGUAAGACUGUCGUGAAAUCCCCGGGCUCAACCUGGGAAUGGCGAUGGUGACUGCAAGGCUAGAGUUUGGCAGAGGGGGGUAGAAUUCCACGUGUAGCAGUGAAAUGCGUAGAUAUGUGGAGGAACACCGAUGGCGAAGGCAGCCCCCUGGGUCAAAACUGACGCUCAUGCACGAAAGCGUGGGGAGCAAACAGG